ACCUUUUCUCCUUCUCGCCUUCUAAAAUAACAGACCAAUAAAUUUGUAGAGAGAGAAAAUAUUUGUAGAGAGAGAAAUAAAAAGAAAUGGACGGGAGCAGCAGCGGAGGAGGAAACGGUUACAGAGUAGAAGCAGAACGGUGGUUAUCUAUAUCAGAGAAACUCUUAGCCGCACGUGACUUGCACGGGGCUAAGAGCUUUGCCAUCCGAUCCCGAGAAUCCGACCCGAGACUCUAUCAAUUCGCCGACCAAAUCAUCGCCGUUGCCGACACUCUUCUUGCCGGAGAGUUAUGCGUCGAGAACAACCACUACUAUGAUUACUAUACGAUUCUCCAACUUGGUCGGUUUACUCAGGAUCUCGAACUCAUUGCGAAUCAGUAUCGGAAACUCGCCUUAUUGCUCAAUCCGACGAGUAAUAGGCUGCUCUUUGCUGAUCAGGCGUUGGAGCUUGUGUCGGAGGCUUGGCUCGUUCUUUCCAAUCCUGCUAAGAAGGCAAUGUAUGAUCAUGAGUUGCAACCGAGCCAGCUCGGUCUCCUUGUGACUCAGCAACUGCCACCUCCACCAUUUCAACAGCAAGCGCCGUAUGCUCCAGAGCCGAUUCGGCCCGUCCCGCUGUUCACAACGCCGAGGAUGCCCGAGUCUUCUAUUCGGUUCCCCACUCAGCCCAAACCCUUGGAUUCACCUCGGCCGCAAACUCAGCAAAGAAACCACCCGGAGCCAACUUGGCGACAACCUCAGCAGAAGCCAACUGAGCCAACUCAUCAGCCUACCCCGCUGAAGGCCGCUACUGAGCCAACUAAGCAAUCAACUCCUCAGCGGAAGCCAACUGAGCCAACUCAGCAACCUACCCCGCUGAAGGCCGCUACUGAGCCAACUAAGCAGCCUACCCUGCUGAAGGCCGCUACCGAGCCACCUAAGCAGUCAACUCCGUCUAAGACUCCCAAGGAGCCAACUUGGCCAGAAGUUGUGAUUGGGCUAACUCGAUCAGCUCCAAAGCGGAGCGUCACUGGUUCGACCCGGCGAGUGACUAAGCCCAAAGCUCCCACUACCGCUGCUGCUGUCAUUGAGACAACGCAUGUAACUCAGUCAGCUAGGAAGACGAGUGCGAGUGAGCCAGAGGCACCGAGUUUCUGGACUGCGUGUCCUUAUUGUUAUAUACUGUAUGAGUAUCCAAAAGCUUACGAGGAGUGUAUUCUGAGGUGCCAAAGUUGUAGGAGGGCAUUUCAUGCUGUCAUGGUACCAGCACCGCCGGUGACUGGUAAAGAUGCAUGUUUUUGCUGCUGGGGAUUUUUUCCAUUGGGAUUUUCUGGUAAUAAUGAGAAAGGAGCUAAUGGGUUUGGUAGUAAUUGGUCGCCAUUUUCGGCAAUGUUUGCCACUCCAUUCCAAGCUGGUGAUGCUGUUGAUAGUGGUGGUAAAAUGUAUAAUAAAUCGAAGCAAAAAGUGAUAUAUAAAGAUGAUGUGUAUAUAGAUAUCUCUGACCCAAGUGAAGAGGAGUCUGAUUCUGGUGAUGAGUGGGGUAGAAAUAUGAGAAAGAAGGCAAAAAAUGCCAAGGGGAAAGGAACUCUCGAUAAAAAAGUGAAGAAAUUGCCUAAUGAAGGACUGAAGGAGGCGGGGGCAGCGACAGGAAAUAUUCAAAAUUUGGAUAGUGAUGGCAGGGGUAGCGUACCGGAGGAGGUUGUGGGAAAAGGGGAAGGGAGUAGCGGGAAGAAGAAGACUGCAAAAGAUCUGGGGAAGUUGGAUUUGAAUGUGAUGUUUAGUAAUGAGGUGGAUGAGGCUGCGCCUGGACCAAGUCAAAGGAAUGGGCCUGGGAAUGAGGAGGAGGAUAAUAUUGAAGGGAUUGGGUUUUUUGAGGGUCUUGAUGAGUUUUUGAGUACCUUGCCCCUACUUUCGGUUGUAGGGGAUGAUAUGGUGAAGGCUACUUAGUGAUACUUUGAUGUUGGUGAGGGUUUGGUGGUCGCAAGUAGCAGUGCUAAAAUAUUCAGUUCAAUGAAUGACUGAGCAUGUAGGUUGACCAGCUCCUCAACUGUAUAUAAUACACGAGGAAUAUUUUGUGAGAGGGGAAUGAGUUACCUAAAUGUGAUGUAGUCAUGCAACCUUUAUUUUGUGAGCAGUGACGUUGGACUCAUUUGAGCUACUCAGGGAACUCGGUUUUUCAUGCCAUGAAUGCGAUUUGUGAAGAGCAGGGUUUCAUGUCUUGUAUUGAAGUGUCGAAGGUACUAUUUGUUCAGGUUUGACAUGCAUCAUUAGCAAUGCUUUAAAAGAUUUUGGACCACCAUGAUGGUCGACAGCCACUGCUAUAAAUCACUGUCAAACAGGAAAAUUUGUGAGGUGAAUUUUAUGAUGCUCGACCUUGAAGCUGUAAAUCGGGCAUUCUUAUGAGCUUUUAUCAAAUAUAAUAAUACCUUUGCUCUUGGGAGAAAAUUUUAAAUUUCGGGCUAUUGGAUUUUAUUUUUUUCAAGACACAGGCCCCUUGGAUGGUGGUGCGAUUCCAGCAUGGUGGAAAUGCUUUUCGCUACGUACGAUCGGAUCCGGUGAUCAUUUGCACGACAGAGUGACUGAUGAGGCCAUUUCAGGUAUAAGAAGAAGGGUUUUCAGCUUGGACAAUGGUAUUAAUUUGUAUUAUUCAUCGAGUUGUUCAGACACAAACGAGUUUGGACCACGAUGAUGCUCCACCACAACCACCUUCAAUUCUUUAAAGAUUUUCUCUUGUGUGGUCGCUAGUCAGUUCCUUGAAUAAGAAGGAAUUUUAUUUUAGUUUUUA